rnacentral:rRNA from 1 species
CGUGUAGGCGGUCGGUCUAAGUCCGAUGUAGAAACGCCCGGGGCUCAGCUCCGGAAGGGCAUCGGAAACUAGCCGGCUAGAGCGCGAUAGAGGAGGGUGGAAUUCCUGGUGUAGCGGUGAAAUGCGUAGAUAUCAGGAGGAACACCGGCGGCGAAGGCGGCCCUCUGGAUCGUUGCUGACGCUGAGACGCGAAAGCGUGGGGAGCAAACAGGACUUAGAUACCCUGGUAGUCCACGCUGUAAACGAUGGGUACUAGGUGUUCGGGGUAUUGACCCCCUGAGUGCCGCAGCUAACGCAUUAAGUACCCCGCCUGGGGACUACGGCCGCAAGGUUAAA